GAGGGUAUAGCUCAGUGGAAGAGUACAUGGUUAGCAUGCAUGAGGUCAUGGGUUCCAUCCUCAGUAUCUCCA
rnacentral:tRNA from 1 species